GAUGAACGCUAGCGGCAGGCUUAAUACAUGCAAGUCGAGGGGCAGCAUGGUGUAGCAAUACACUGAUGGCGACCGGCAAACGGGUGCGGAACACGUACAGAACCUUCCUUCGAGCGGGGAAUAGCCCAGAGAAAUUUGGAUUAAUACCCCAUAGUACAUUGAGGCGGCAUCGUUUUAAUGUUAAAGAUUUAUCGCUUGAAGAUGGCUGUGCGGCUGAUUAGGUAGUUGGCGGGGUAACGGCCCACCAAGCCUGCGAUCAGUAACUGGUGUGAGAGCACGACCAGUCACACGGGCACUGAGACACGGGCCCGACUCCUACGGGAGGCAGCAGUAAGGAAUAUUGGUCAAUGGACGAAAAGUCUGAACCAGCCAU
rnacentral:rRNA from 1 species